AACGAACGCUGGCGGCAGGCCUAACACAUGCAAGUCGAACGAGACCUGCGGGUAGAGUGGCGCACGGGUGCGUAACGCGUGGGAACCUGCCCUUAGGUGCGGAAUAACUCCCCGAAAGGGGUGCUAAUACCGGAUAAUGUCUUCGGACCAAAGAUUUAUCGCCUUUGGAUGGGCCCGCGUUGGAUUAGCUAGUUGGUAGGGUAAAAGCCUACCAAGGCGACGAGCCAUAGCUGGUCUGAGAGGCUGAUCAGCCACACUGGGACUGAGACACGGCCCAGACUCCUACGGGAGGCAGCAGUGGGGAAUAUUGGAAUAUGGGCGAAAGCCUGAUCCAGCAAUGCCGCGUGAGUGAUGAAGGCCUUAAGGUUGUAAAGCUCUUUUACCCGGGAUGAUAAUGACAGUACCGGGAGAAUAAGCUCCGGCUAACUCCGUG
rnacentral:rRNA from 1 species